AACAGAUGCUUCACUAUUAAAAUAUUUUCCCCCCAAGUCUCAAAUAUUGAAGAAUCUCUAACCAGGCUCGAAACGCCGGUCUCAGUGGCUAUUGAGUUACCCACCAAGUUACCCCGGGACACCAGUCCCUACGAAGACCUUGGGCGAUUUUGAAGUGCGGGCACCUCGAUUCCCCGAAUCUGUAGUGUGGCUGGUAUCGGUGUUCCCCUGGUUUAACUAGCCUGUUUGAAGGCACAGAUCAUUCAUGGGGAUGUAUAACCGAAACCAGUCCUCUCCACCGCCUGGGGAUCUUCACUUUCGCAGUCUACGACUGCCUGUGACUCCAGAAAGACAAACUGCAGAUUGGCCAAGCUGCCUGAAGACCCAGCCCGACAGCGAUGCCUGUCAGCCCGCGUCGCCCACCAGGGCAGCUGCUCUCCCAACUCGCAUGGGGGGCACCACCCCGCCUCGGUGCCCUAGAGCUGAGCGCAGCCGCGGCUCCACGGGGAUCGCCAGGGCCUCAGCCCUCGCGGCCGGCGGCGCGGGAGUGUUGCGGGGCAGGGACCAGAGCGCGAUCAGAGCGGCCACCCCCGAUUUAGGUCGCCAGCUUUCCAGUCACUGCGAUGGCCACUGGGGCGCCCCUUCCAUCCUGGUUAAAUUCUCAUUGUGAUCCCCAGCCCUCUUCUCGGUUCCCCACACCCAGGAGGCCGGUUCUCCGCCGCUCAGGCUGGGAGAGGUCACCGCUCCGGGCAGGGUGGACCCCCAGCUCCGUCUCGGAGGACCUUUCGCCGGAGGCGAGCAGGAAGGGGUUAACCAUGAGCCUCCCACCCUCACCUCCCAGACCCUGGUGCCGGGCUAAGGCCUCCGCUUCCCUCCUGAGGUCUCAUUAGGAAACCCUCACCGCUAUUUUCAACAUUUCCUCAAUCAAGUGCCUUUAAAUAGAGCUGCACAAACAGAUUGGCGGCAAAAGCGUAGAUCUUGUCACGAUUGAGACCAAUCCAGUAUUUCAGCCUUGUUUGCUUUGCAAUUACGGGUUGGCUUGUGGCUACGGUGCCACCGGGGCAAAUCUGCAGCCGCUCGCUUUCUCCUCUGCGCUCCGGGCGGGUGGAGGAAGCGACCCGCGGAGUCACUGCAGGGAGGAGAGGGGGACGCGCGCGGGGGGAGGCGGCGGAGGGCGGAGGAGACUCGCUUGCACCCCAGGGCCGCGGGCACGCAGAGCUGUGUUGAAGGACAUACUUUUCAGGUUCCUGACAGUCACUGAGCUAUACGCAAUAAUAAAGUGCGUGAUUCGCGUGUGGAAA
rnacentral:lncRNA from 1 species